rnacentral:rRNA from 1 species
ACACAAAAGCGCAUGUGCUGUGAGCUCGAUGAGUAGGGCGGGACACGUGGUAUCCUGUCUGAAUAUGGGGGGACCAUCCUCCAAGGCUAAAUACUCCUGACUGACCGAUAGUGAACCAGUACCGUGAGGGAAAGGCGAAAAGAACCCCGGCGAGGGGAGUGAAAAAGAACCUGAAACCGUGUACGUACAAGCAGUGGGAGCACCCUUUGGGUGUGACUGCGUACCUUUUGUAUAAUGGGUCAGCGACUUAUAUUCUGUAGCAAGGUUAACCGAAUAGGGGAGCCGGAGGGAAACCGAGUCUUAAUUGGGCGUUAAGUUGCAGGGUAUAGACCCGAAACCCGGUGAUCUAGCCAUGGGCAGGUUGAAGGUUGGGUAACACUAACUGGAGGACCGAACCGACUAAUGUUGAAAAAUUAGCGGAUGACCUGUGGCUGGGGGUGAAAGGCCAAUCAAACCGGGAGAUAGCUGGUUCUCCCCGAAAGCUAUUUAGGUAGCGCCUCGUGAAUUCAUCUCCGGGGGUAGAGCACUGUUUCGGCUAGGGGGCCAUCCCGGCUUACCAACCCGAUGCAAACUGCGAAUACCGGAGAAUGUUAUCACGGGAGACACACGGCGGGUGCUAACGUCCGUCGUGAAGAGGGAAACAACCCAGACCGCCAGCUAAGGUCCCAAAGUCAUGGUUAAGUGGGAAACGAUGUGGGAAGGCCCAGACAGCCAGGAUGUUGGCUUAGAAGCAGCCAUCAUUUAAAGAAAGCGUAAUAGCUCACUGGUCGAGUCGGCCUGCGCGGAAGAUGUAACGGGGCUAAACCAUG